rnacentral:RNase_MRP_RNA from 2 species
ACGUCGUCUGAAGAAUCGCCAUCGCAGCACACGCACAAGAAACGUCCUCAUACGAUGCUUUCUACCCUACGCUGUGGGAAAAGUCCCCGGAGACACAGAGUCCCCCUCGUGGGGCCGGCCCCCGUUCGCUAACGGAAAGCCCUGGCUGCAACCACGCCGAGGAAGGGCGGGGGAUCGGUCGGGCGAGUUCACCCUGCUUGCUUCUCUAUUCCUCUCGGAUGGGAAUGCAAGCUCGGCUCGCCCAGCUCUGUUGCGCUGCCCGACGUCCCGCGGUCUAUCGCGAAGACACGAGCCUUGGCCGCGCUUUUGUGGGCGGAGGGCGCGCACGUCGUUGCUCAUAGACAUAGUUAUGCGAUUGUCGGCUUUCGCGGUUCAUUCUUGUGGAUCGCGGCCGUCAUCUCAAUGGGGCUUACUCUCAUUCGACG